ACUGAUCUGGCUGCAACAUCUGUCACCCUAUUGAUCGCCAAGGUUGAUUCUGCUGAGCUGGCUGGCUAGGCUGCUGUCCCCUUCCUCCCUCACUGCUCCAUAUGCGUCUCUCCUGAAGCUGCACUAGGUCAAAGAGGACAACCUUCCUCGAAGAGAGGAGGACCAGUCUUAGGUCAAGGUUAUAUGAGUAGCUGCGGUCCCCUGCUAGAACUUCCAAACAAGCUACUCCAGAUUCUUGCCUCACAUUGUCUUGUGGUUUCAUAUUCUGU
rnacentral:sRNA from 1 species